UACAGAGGGUGCAAGCGUUGUUCGGAAUUAUUGGGCGUAAAGCGCGUGUAGGCGGCUUUGCAAGUCGGGUGUGAAAGCCCUCAGCUCAACUGAGGAAGUGCGCCCGAAACUGCAGAGCUUGAGUGCCGGAGAGGGUGGCGGAAUUCCCCAAGUAGAGGUGAAAUUCGUAGAUAUGGGGAGGAACACCGGUGGGCGAAGGCGG
rnacentral:rRNA from 1 species